rnacentral:rRNA from 1 species
UACAGAGGUCCCAAGCGUUGUUCGGAUUCACUGGGCGUAAAGGGCGCGUAGGCGGAGUGUUUUGUCGGGCGUGAAAUUCCAGGGCUCAACCUUGGGGCUGCGUUCGAGACGGGCAUUCUGGAGUGGGAAGAGGGUCGUGGAAUUCCCAGUGUAGAGGUGAAAUUCGUAGAUAUUGGGAAGAACACCGGUGGCGAAGGCGGCGACCUGGUCCUUUACUGA